rnacentral:lncRNA from 1 species
GAAGCACUACACUUUAGAGCCUAAUUACCAUACAUAAUUAUAGAUUGCCUAAUUAGUAUUCGUAGCUAAUGUUCAAUUGUUAUAAGAUUUUAUCACUUGUAUUUAGAUGCUCAAAUCGUGGCGCGAGCGAAUACAACUUGUAUCAAUCGUAUACGUUUGCACAAGGCAAAAUACGGGUGUACACAACGGAUACAACAUGUACAACCAAGGUAAAUACAGAAAUACAAAAAAUAAAAUGCUCUUAUUGAGAGUCAAACUCAAAACCUCUACUUACUAAGGCGGUAUACUAACCAACUGAGCUACAAGAGCUUGUUACACUUACAAGAAAUGUGCCUUUUAGCGGUGAUAAAAGUCGCUACUAAAUCAUUAAAAGUCACCGCUAAAUGUUAUAGCCGCGACAUCGGACUUGUUGCACCUCAAGCCAUUACAAAACGUUCUUUGUGACGACUACAAAGUGUCGCCACAAAUUGUCACCAUUUAAUAGUUUGACAUGUUGCCACAAAUUAUGUUCCAUGAAACAAAUUCUGGGGCAGGUCGCCACUGAACAGUGGCUUUUAGCAGCGACUACAGUCGCCACCAAAAAUAAAUAUCUAUCACUGACAGUCUUCAAUCGCUGCUACAGAGUUGCUUUUAGUAGCAGUGUAAGUCACCACAAAAACAAUUGACUAUUACCAGCAAUUCUCAUAUUGCAGCAAUUGAUGUCGCCACAAAAAACUCAAUAAUCAGUGGAGACUAUGAGCUCGCUGCUAGAGAUUUGCUUUUAGUAGCAAUCAUAGUGGCAACGAUAAAUGCUACAAAAACUAUUAAACAAUCAAUGACAACUUGAAUAUUGCAGAAUGAAAUAUUUUCAUCACUGAAACCUACUCAAUUCAGCAAUUAUAAUGACCAAAAUUAUAUAAACGCAUUCAAUAGUAAUUUACAAACACCAAGCGAAUAUCUUAAGUUGGAUACUAAAUACUUCCAUUACUACAAUGCGAAUUACAUAUAUAAUGCAUAAUACUUUAUUGUAAUUGUAUGCAUAUACAUCCCAAAAGAGUAAAAUACUAAGUGCCUUGAGCCCCUCCUUGAUUGUCUCUAUUGUUUAAGAAAGAACAAGAACAGGAAUUGCCUGUUAUAUAUUUACUAGAUAGUGUUGGCCUGUGCCCAAGCACAGGCCCAAUAGCCAAUAUCUCAUAUAAUCACCCCAUACUAGGCCCAAUAGCCAACAUCUCAUAUAAUCUCCGCAUACUAUUUAUGUUUAUUUUUGGAUGUUGUGCGGUUUCCAACUGAAACAUUCUUUACAUCCACGGUAGUACCAUUAGACGCUAAAGUACGACGUUUCCUAUGUAUAUGAGAAUAUUAUUUACAUAUGGAUAAAAAGUGAUGCAUAGCCGUACUCUGAUUAGUCUACUUCUUAGAAGUCUUAUAGCUGUAGAAAUAUGUAGUAAUAGUCAAAUGUCAGUAUCCAUAUCCUAAAACAGACUAAAUGCAAACUUUAUGCUUAGUAACAUAUUUCAUGUCAAGCACACUCAAUAAUAUAGUCAAUUUUAUAAUAAGAUAAAAAUAUUAGAUGACUUAGAUGGGAUAAUUCAAAAUUUUAAAAUGGAUUUUGAUGAUGAAUGAUCCACCCUGUGAAAAGCAUUGCCACUAAACCCAAGAGUGGAUAAAGGAAGAUAAAAUGUUCUGUCAAGUGUACCUAUAAGCGCUCCACCAGUUAUGCAGUUAUAGAGUAAUACAAAUAGUUGCACCAAUAGAAGCAAAUAGGUGCAACAUCCAUUCACCUCAUGGUAAGCAGUGUGGAAGCAGAAGCUUGAUGAAGUCGCGAGGAACAUGUCAUAUAUUGGAACUGUUGAGCUUGACAUGUGUGUAAGUUUUAUGAGAGAUGGAUAGUUCUGUAUGCCUCUUCCUAUCAUAUCUUAAUACUCAGCCAUCAUUUUGCUUAUCCAUUCUCAUUCGAAGAGUGUGCUUUCUGUCUACUUUUGUAAAAGUCAAAUUCUUGUGUAAAACACCUAGAAACAGAAAGUACAAGAGUUAAUAUUGUGAUUUGCUGGAAAAUAUUGGAAUAAUUGGUCAAAUCUGAAAGCACUUUCAACUUAUGAGGGUUCAUAUCUACAAAGAAAGGAAUGCCCGGAUGACAGAAGAAAUUAUAUGGAAAUAAUAAAGUUAUAAUCUUCUGAUCAAUGCUUAAAUAGUUUGCAAGGUCAUAAGAGAUCAUAUUCCAUUUCUUUGCUCAGAAUUAUUGGCUCCUUUAAAGCUUUCAAAUUUUAGAGGCGAAACCACGCCGGCAGCUCAAAAGCUAUCUUCUCAGAUCAAUUCAUGAACUUUAUAUGCAUAGAAGAAUAAAAUGAACUCCUUAUACAUAGUAUGGAAAGCAGGACACUCAUGAUAAUAUGGACACCCGUUUUUCCUUUAGAAGAACUCCAUUAAUGGUAAAUCCCAAGCAAACUUAAAUAACACAAACGAUCGGCAGUCAUAAAUUGAUUAACUAUACCACAACAAUAUGGUCAAUUUACAUGGACGACAACAACACAUUCAAUUUGAGUAAUACGUAAAAUACAAAAUUUUAAUAUAGCAUCAUACCUUCAAUAAGUAUUUCUUCAUUUUUAUGAAAAAGUUUUCCCCCAAUUCACAGGAAUGUACAAAAUUUGCAUCCUUGUUGAAGGCAGUCCUAAUUGGAUAUCGCUAACCAUAGAAUCAAAUAGUUCAGGAGUUUUCGCCAAUUCUGAAACAAACAUGAAAAGUAAUAGAGGAAAAUAAAGGUUAGAGCCAACUAUUGCCAGGCAAAUCAUUCACUCCCUACAUCCAACCCCACCCACAAACCGACUGAAAAGAAAAACACAAUCUUUUCUAGAAGAGGCUGUGUAGUCAAUUGGUAAGAUGUCUAACUUGCAUAUAAUAGAGAAUAUGACAAUAAGGUGACACGCAGGAGUUUUGCAUAGUUGGCAAACUCCACUAACAGUUGCCACCCUGUUUGAUUUUCAUGUAUGCCACAAUUUCUCUGAGCAACAAUUGUAGUUCACAUCAAGACUCCCCUAAAAAGGUCCAACCGACAACUUGAAGUUGUAAACUAACAAAUAGGAAUUGUUCUACAUUUAUCUAUGGUUGAACCAGAAAAAAGAAAAAAAGGAAAGAUCAGUCUUUCUACAAAAAGAUUAUUAUAAUUGACAGUAUCGUAAUUCCAAAAAAAAAUAGAAGAAAGGAUGGUGAAAUUCCUAAUACUCUACUUUUUUUUCUACGUUUUACAAAUAAAAUCACGACCUCAUAACGAAUUCAAAGUAUUAGUGAAAGAAAUGUUUUCAACAGGAUCCAGAAAAUAAAAGGAAUUCAGAAAAAUAGGGGAGAAAAUUAAAUGAACAGGAAAAUGUUACUUGGAGAAAUUUGUUUUCAAGAUUAUUACACUGAAACAUUAAAUGCAUACUGUAAUAACAAUGAAUUAAGCACACACUAACAUUAAUACAACUAAAAAGCUAAUAAAUCUAAUCAGCUCACGCAACACCACCAUGGGCUUAAUUGUCAUUGCACAACAACCUCCGUGGCAGCACCAAAAACCAAGAAAAAUAUUGAAAAACAUACCUCAGGCUCAGGAACUGAAAACCCAACAAGGGUUUGAACCAAAAAAAAUAGCUUCAGAUUCUUGAAAGUGAAAAAAAAGUAAACUUUAAAGAACCAAGUUCAGUAUUUGUCACAAACCAGAAUAUUAGGGACAAAAGCUAUAUGUAUAUGUAUGUAUAGGUAAUCAGUAGAUAUGGAGAGAGAUAUGUAUAGGUAAUCAGUAAAUUUAUAUAAAAUUAAUAUGGGUUUUCAAUUAAACAUACGCACAAAACUCAGAAAAGUCGCUGAGAUUAUGGAAAACUAAGCAACUCUAUGAGAGAAAUCGGAUGUACGAUUUUCCUCCACAAAAUUGGAUUAGUUUUUCCUUAAAAAGAAAAAGGCAGAAAUUAGGGAUUUGACCACAAACCUAAUAAUUGAGUUUCUUAUGUUGAUAAGAGAGAUUAGGAGCAGAUAAUCCCUUGCUAUUUUCUUCUAGCAGAGUAGGGAUUUUAGAGAGGGAUGAGAGAUUUGAGAGAGAGAGAACGAGAGAACAGACUAUUUGUUCUGGGUAACUUUUUGAGAAUUUUAUUUUAUGUAAUUUGUUUUGUUAUUUUAAAUUAAAAUAUAAGAGGGUGGAGUAGCGACCCAGUCGCUUAAUUUAAA